rnacentral:lncRNA from 1 species
UGAACAAAUUAGACAGUUAAUGUUCCAGGAUGAAGAGGGCUUCGGGGAACAGAAUCUGCCGUUUAUUUGACUUGCUUCAUUAGACACAGUGCCAUCAUACCAAAAUUAGAAAAAAGAAGGAACUCAGCGGAAAUCAGCUACACAAGAAGAACCUCUCAGUUCUGAGAAUUCACAUUAACCAGUGAUUAAGAAAUAUUAAAAAGGUCAGCUAGUGAGGAGAGUAAGAUGUAGUGAGGCAUGUGUUCAGAACUUUCUCCCAGAGGUAAAUUACUGAUGCAUGACUUUUAAGGUGCUAGGAGAGGGCUGAUAGUCCACUACGUUAUCAAGUUCAAAGCCUAAGAAAUAUUGAACAUUUCCACACAUGAAUGUGGGUACUAUGUUUAAUUUGAGAAUGGCCAACUGUCCUCGAAGUCUCAAUCUCUUUGGAGCCUACCAGCUCCGAGAGAAGUUUGAGGAUGCUGCAAAACCCUCCCCUGCAAAUCCAUCUACUCCUCCCACUUCUAUCCUAAUGGGUAUAGUUCUUGGCUGUGCUGAGGAUCUGUAAGGCACCAGAUGUGAAAGUAAGGAAGAAAGAUGGAUGUGGAAGAAAGUCACUGCCCAGAGAAUAAGGAGACCUGGAUUCUAAUCUCAGCUCUGCCAUUAACUAGCUGUGAAGUGUUUGUUCAAAGAGAGACCAUGUAUAAGAUAUUUGAUGAAAAUGCUACUGAACAACAGAACCUGAAUCAGUGAAACUAUGGCUCAAAAGGGAAUAAGAGAUCAAGGCAAGCAUGGACA